rnacentral:rRNA from 1 species
UGUAAGCGUAUACCAAAGUUGUUGCAGUUAAAACGCUCGUAGUCGGAAUUUGGCAGUUCCGGAUGUGUGCACGUCGUGUGCGCACUUCGCGGGGAUUGCUUUUGUGGUCUUGCGUAGGAUAAGGCACUUUUAUUAGUGAACGUCCUCACGCAACCACUUUUUACUGUGAGAAAAUCAGAGUGCUCAAAGCAGGCAUUUGCCGUGAAUGUAUUAGCAUGGAAUAAUAGAAUAGGACUUGGUUCUAUUUUGUUGGUUUGUUGGGACUGAGUAAUGAUUAAGAGGGACAGUUGGGGGCAUUUGUAUUUCGGUGCUAGAGGUGAAAUUCUUAGAUUACCGAAAGACAAACUGCUGCGAAAGCGUCUGCCAAGGAUGUUUUCAUUGA